CCCCCAGCACCGCCUCCAGAUACGCCGUCGCCGCCUCCGCCGCGCUCACCGCCGCCAAGGCCUUCCCCGGUGUGAUGGGAUACAACCCUCGUUAUGAAGAAAUUGUAUCUGGAAUGAGAACAGCAGUGGAGUUCAGCAAGUCAGGAGGAUUGUGCGCAGAACGCUACAAGUGUUCUGACAAGUAGCAGCCACCUCCAGCAGAUCUCAGAAGAGCAAGACUUUCAGUGAAAGUAGCUGUUGUCUCUGUGAUGGUGGCUUGGCAGGUUGUCACCUGUGUUUCUCAACCUGUGCCACACACUUUCUGGAGUCUAUUAUAGCUUUCACACAAGACUACACCAAAAGGUGACAUGUGCAGACACUUAACAAAUAUGUACUCAGUUCAACAGAAUAUUUUGAUACUAUAUCAUUGAUUCAUCACUGUUGUUCCACAUCCAUUUAUUUAAGAAAGGGAGUAGCAUGAAGUUUACACAUUAUAGCAGUGAAUCUCAUGUAAUAAAAAUAUUAUUAAAUCUAAAAAAAAUGGAACAUAUUUCGAAACUUACAGAUCUCAUUAGACUUUUAAAACAUGCAGCUAUUCUUGUAAUUUGAAAUAGCUGUUUCAACUAUACGUAAAAUAAGGGCAAAGCGACCACUCAUCUCUAAUGGAUGGACUGAUGUGUGGAACAUUGGAACAUAUAGCAAGACUCAGUUACAUGUUUCUAUGCUCCUCACAUCAGUCUGUUACAGGUAAGUGAUUGCCUUUCCCUUAUUUUAUAUAUUUUUCCAUCCAGAAUUUUCCAUUAUUGUUAUAAAUAGUUUUGGGGGAAUUUAUUGUAUGCAUUUUGUACUGAAUGAAUUAAAAAUAAAUUUACUCAUAAGAAUCUCCA